CCUACGGGAGGCAGCAGUGAGGAAUAUUGGUCAAUGGUCGGGAGACUGAACCAGCCAAGCCGCGUGAGGGAUGAAGGUACAGAGUAUCGUAAACCUCUUUUGUCAGGGAACAAAGGCGGGGACGUGUCCCCGGCUGAGUGUACCUUAAGAACAAGCAUCGGCUAACUCCGUGCCAGCAGCCGCGGUAAUACGGAGGAUGCGAGCGUUAUCCGGAUUUAUUGGGUUUAAAGGGUGCGCAGGCGGUCUGUUAAGUCAGCGGUCAAAGCCCGGGGCUCAACCCCGGCCCGCCGUUGAAACUGGCAGUCUCGAGUUGGAGAGAAGUAGGCGGAAUGCGCGGUGUAGCGGUGAAAUGCAUAGAUAUCGCGCAGAACUCCGAUUGCGAAGGCAGCAUGCCGGCUCCACACUGACGCUGAGGCACGAAAGCGUGGGUAUCGAACAGGAUUAGAUACCCGAGUAGUC
rnacentral:rRNA from 1 species